AUCCUUUCGUAUUCUUUUCUUCCAGUUUUAUGCAUGUUAACAUGGCUGAUUCAUCACAAUAGUCCUUUUGUAUUCCUUUCUUAUAUUAUCCUUUUCUUGCAUUCACCUUCUUGGUGUUUAACACUGAUAGUAUUUCUUAUUCCAGGCAAAACUUUUAAAAAUUAAGAUCUUGAUAGCUGAAAAAAAGACUCUUCAGGUGCCAUUGCUAAAACUGGUUACAUACUCAAAUCUGAUGAGAGUGAACUGGUUACAUACUAUCUAGUCAUAUCAAACACUUUUCAACAAAAGUAAUACAAACAUAAACGCAUUCGAUACACACAAUAAAACUAAAAAUUGAUGUAUACGCCCUAAAGUAUCAAUAAUUUGUUGUUGAAUGACUAUCAGUUCAGGCUUGACCAUAAUAUGCUCUUGCGAUUAUUGUGACUAAUUGUUCUGGUGUAUAUCACGACGUCCAAGUUUAUAUUAUAAUUCAUCCCUUCCCAUAUAUUCAUUGUGCCAUUGGAAAAAAGUACAAUUUGUACACCGAUAGUAUAUUCUUCCAAGGUUAGAUCGGGAGCUUGAUGUACUUAAGUUGCAUUGUAAGUUGCACCGUGGAUAGGUUCACCAUUGAUAUCCUCCGACACUUGUGGAACCUGAUGACACGUUGUGUAGUUCAAUGGUCUAGACCUGCAUCCCAAUUUCAUAAAAAAGAAACAAAAGAAAUGAAUUUAUCUUGGAAAUCUAAUGUUUUUUUCAUAAGCUUUUUAUAUUCUCAUAUAGAAACAAGCAUUUAUAUACUAAAUAUCUUCCUUUAAGGAACAAGUCAAAAAAAUAUGUAUAGCAUAAUCAAAUACUAAAGUAACCGAUAGGAAAAAAAAAAACUCACACAAAGAACUUUUCUUUCAAAUAUUAACCACAAAAUCGCAUGAAACAUCGGGACCAAACUAGUCGAUCAUUGCAGGUUAAACAAAUAAGCCUAUUCAAAUCAGAUAUGCUUGGAAGCAAACAAUAACAAUUUAUACAUGAUGUGCAUAAUACAAUAACAAUUUAGAAUAAUUAAUUAGUUGUCCUUCAUGUUAUAUUAGUAAUUGAUUAGUUGUCCUUCAAAUUUCAAGUCUGACGUGGCCCAUUCAAAAAGUAAUCGACUUGGUAAAAACUAGCAUGAGUUGGAUCGACUAGGCAUGUUAAGCAGAACAAAAUGGAGAGUUGUAGUUUGAUUUCAUUGAGUUUUCCUUCAGGAAAGGACCCUAGAGUGAAGUAGUUGAAUUGUUUUUUCUUGGGCCUUUAUUUGUUUUGAUCAGAUUGGUGACAUAUGGUUUGGUUGAAGUACAGUUCUUGAUUGAUUUACAACAUCCACUUCAUGAUUGGGCUUUUCUUCCAUCUGAUUAUUGCUACUCGAAAUUUUUCACAACCAUUGCUUCAUUUUUUGAAUCCAUUGACCUGGGUGAAACAACCAUUAUUUCCCUUGUUUAUAUUCAAAAUUUGAAACCUUUGAAUACAAGAACAACUUGGGUCCUUAUCAGAGUUUUGUGCAAAUUUGGGUCCUAAAAACCAUAUAACACAUUUCACUUAUUGCAAGCAAAUUUCUUUUAGAGUGAAAAUUCAAGUACUGAAAGGUUGCACAACAUUAUGAACAAAAUCAGCAUAAAGACUUGCUUUUAAUUUUUACUAGCACAAGUAAGAAAGCUUUUUAGAACAAUCAGGUAGCAAUUAUCCAGAACAUAUGAAUUGUAGAAUGAUUGGGAUUCUCCCUGUAGAAGGACCUGGUAGGAAAAAGUAUUCAAGUCCAUCUUAUUAUUGUUUCAGUAACCAUAACUUUGUAGCCACAAUUAUUCCAGAAAUCAAAAUAAGAUCCUUUAAAAGAUUUAUAAGUUCAAGUACACAGAACAACAAAUAGUACAACUCAACUCUUUAAUUAUUCCCUCUAGAUUGGGGCUCGUAGAGGAAAAAUACUCAAGUCCAUCUGAUUAUGGUUUCAUUAACCAUACCUGAGUAGCAAUAAUAAUUCCUCAAUUCAAAAAUAGAUACUUCAACAGAUUUACAAGUUUAAUGUAAGCAGAAUAAAGAAAUAGUGUGUCUCUCUUUCAAAAGUGAAGCAAACAAGCUUACAUGGAAGUAUCAAGAAACUCAACAAACAAGCUUUCCCAUUAGAGAAACGGCUUUCAAAAACUCAAUACUAAACUUGAGUCAUACAUUACCAAAUGGGGACUCUGAUAUUUCAGCCAUAGUAACUAUAUUUUGCACUAAGAACUCUGACAUAACCAACGCCACUGACAUGGAGAUUAACUUCAAUGUAUCUAAAUGUAUCCAUGAAAAACAAAAAAUACCACAACCUGCAGUAUUAAAAACGCAGUAAACUCAGAUGGAAACUUUGACAGAGAUCAAUUAUCUCAGAAAUUCCCCAACAUUUUACAAUGGUCAAGACUCGUACCAUCAAAAACCUCCAAAGUAAGCACCAUUCAUCUAAGGACAAAACCAUGCUCAUACCAUCAAAAAACCCCAAACUAAGCAUCAUUCUUCUAAGAACAAAAUCAAGCUCACAAAAUUUUACAGACUCCAAAUUAAGCAUCAUUCAUCCAAAAAACCCAAAAAAUACAGAUCUAAUACAAUUUUAGAGACCAAGAAUGCCAUCAAAUUAAUCAGAAAAUAAAUCUGAAGAAUACCUCAAGUCCAAUAACCCAUAAAAAUAAACCCAUCACAGGGUUUUCAAAUAAAAAAAACCCAAAAAUAUAGUUCUAAUAAAAUUUUAAACUAUUCGUACCUCUGUGACAGGGAGCGGGAGAGGGCUUUCCCUUCUGUUGUCGUCUGAGAGGCGCAGAGAGAGGGAGAGGCUCAACUAGGUCAAGGAACAGUGAGAGGGAAUGGCAUGCAGAGAGAGAACAACGAGAGGAGGGAAUGGCGUAUUUCUUCUGGUUUAGAGAGAGAGAAGAGGGAAUGGCGUAUGAGUGUGGGAGAGAGGGCGCGAGGGUUGAGGUAGUAGGUAGGCAUACCACGCGAGCGAGAGAGGGUUAUAGGGCUAUUCAAGCACGAGGGAGAGAGGGUUGCAGAGCUACAGAAGGCGCAAUUUGCCCUUUUGAAUGAGGAGCGUUGGUUUUCCAGCGACCCAUCGAAACCGAUGGCGCACAGA
rnacentral:lncRNA from 1 species